GCUGUUGGGUGGCACUGUUGGUGGCACUGUUGGGAGUGAAAGCUUUAUGAGGGGACCCAGCCCCUCCGCUUCCGUCUGUCAUUGGAGUCACAGGUGAGCAGCUCCUUCCACCCCGUCCCGCCCAGACGCACCGUCCGGCUGCAGACCCAGGUCAGUGGGCCAGGCGCGUGGGCUGCAGGCUCUGAAACUAGGAUCAAAAUAAACCCUUGUCCUGACCAGCUGCUGACCUCGGGGAUCUGAUUGAGUGCUGGACCGCUGGCCGGGACACUCUGCUGAAGGAGUCCAGCUCUGGAGAACCAGCCCAAGCCCCCAGGGACCCCUGCCCUCAGCUCACCGGGUGGAGGUGGCACAGAGGUCCCGCGGGGGCAGCUGCGAGCUGUGUCCAGCCUCCUCCCUGGCCUGGCCUCUUUCUCGUGUGUCCUUCCUGGAAGCACCUGCUCUGUGACCGUCCCCUGGGGCCAGAGCGGGGGAGGCGUGUGGCCUGGGGAGUCGGCGGGCUGGGGCCACAGUGGUCGGGUGGAGCCCAGCUGACCGCGGGAAACUGAGGUGGGACCUUUGUGAGUCAAGUGGCUGAAACCCAGGUCCCGUGGACUGAGGCAGGUGGGGGGUGUGGGACUGUCACCAGCUGGACCAUGUCCUUCAGAAUUCAUCAGCUGGGGCCCUGACCCCCGGGGAGGGAAGGAUGCCACUGGAUCGGGAAGAGGCUCUUUAAAGGGGGAUUAGGGCGGCUCCGAAUCCCGCGUGACCUGCACACUCUGAAGACAGAUCGGGACAGGGACAGAGAGGGUGAGGAACUGGCCCGGAAUUGCCCAGCCCUGGGUCUGUGAAACCGUGGAACCAAGAUCCCGACCUAGAACUUGAUCAGAGAGGCCAGACUGGCUGGUCCCCUGGCUGUGCCAGGCUCUGCCCCUGACUUGCUGUGAGUCUGUGGGCGAGUCCCCUGGGUGUCCUGCUUGUUUCCUGAUGGGGUCGGACGGCGGAGGGAGUGAAAGGAGCUCUUGGGACCUUUCCAAGUCCCUGAGGAGGCAGGAGCUCGGGGCCCACAGGGCUGUCUCCGCCCUCAGACCUGCAGGGACAGAGCCGUCCCCUCAGGUGGGGGAGUGUCUAGCAAGGACACCUCUGUCCCCGUCACAGCUGGGUGCACAGACCAGGUGCACCCAGCUAUGGGACCGGCCGGAAUGGAAAGGAGGGAGCCCGGGCUGAGGCCCAGCCCCUGCUCAGGAGGAGACCCCCCACCAGCCACCCGGGCCUCAGUGUCCCCGUCUGUCAAUCAGAAGAGCAACGCCAACCCGAGAGGGAGUCAUGGUCGUGACUCGGUUGAAGGUGACGUUGUCCCUCCCUCAAGGGACGUCUGGCUGGGUCUGGAGAAGCUCUGGGGUGUCAGGGGCACGGGGGGCAAGGCCGGGGAGCUCCUGAACAUCCUUCCAAGGACGUCCGGCCAGGACGUCCCCAGGCGGAGGCUCGGAGCGGCUGCCGAGGAUCACAGCACACGGGCCGCUCGACGUCCCCAGAUUCUCAGUUCCCUCUGGCUCUCCUGCCGCUCCUGGGGCCCACAGUCAAGGCUGUCCCCUACUGAAUUCCAGGGCUCCCUCUCCCGGGGUCUGCUGCCCGGCCCCCUGGAGGGGGGCGCGCGGGAGGGUCCAGGUCUUGCUGGACAGCUGGCCCUCGCCACCUCGGCUACCGCUGAAGGAUCCGCCAACCCUGGAAAUGUUCAGAAAAACCCCGGAGUCUUCUGAACACAGACUUCUUGACCCUCCCCAUUCCGCCCCAGAUAAUGCCGCCGAGCCUGGGACGGUGGCCCACGCCCGAAUGCCAGUGAUUCAGGAGGCUGAGGCAGGAGGACUGCAAGUUUGAGGCCAGACUGGACAACUGAGGGAGGCCCUGCGCAGCUCAGUGAGACCCUCAGUGGUGAGUGCCCCGGGUUCAAGCCCUGGAACCAAGCACACAGGACAGGGAGCCUGGGUUCUGGGGCACCACGUCGCGCUGUGUGCUAGAAGGCGUCUAGAGAUGGCUUCGCGUGUCUGGGAGGGGACACCCGUGGGUCACCUGUAGAUACUGUGUUGUUUCGUGUAAAGCACUUGAGCUCCCUCGGAUCCCGUACCCUCGGGUGCUGGGUCCCCUCCCCCGGGGGUCCCCAGGGGGGCUGCACCUGCUUUCUCGCCUCUGGGUGGCUGCAGCCUUGGGGCACGCAGUGUCCCCGGGGCAGGGGGGCCUGGGCGAGCUGACCUGGCCCCGCGUACUGGCCGCCCUCUCCUGUCCCAGAGGACAAGACUCCACCCGUGACUGGCUAGGACUGUCCAGCAAGAGGCCCUGUCCUGUGCGCGGGUGCCAGCCCGGGCCAGUGUGUCUCCGGGCCCCGAGCCAACAGCGGGGACAAUCUGUCCGAGAAGGAACCGACCCAAAGGGGAGUGAGCCUAAGAGCCGCAGGAAGGUGGACCCUGGGUCCAGGUGUCUCAGAGCCACCAGGUCCCGCAGGGCUGUCCGUGAGUCAGCGACGCCCUUAGGGCCUUGAACCAUCUGGUCCCUGCCCCAGGCGGGGUGUGUCUGGAAGCCCCCUGGGAUGGCGCUGCCCCUCAGCCGCGUUCCUCUGGACCCUGCAGGGCGCCACAGAAGUGUCUGCGGGGGUGGCCACCCUGGUCCGCCCUGUCCGCCGGCCACGGGAGGAGAAGCUACAGCGUGACCCGGGGACAUUCAUUAAUUAGCAGUUUAAGGACAUUUGCACCUGCUGCUCUGGGUCUGGGGUCCUUUUUGCCGACUGGACUCUGCUUCCUGACUAAUCACCCCACGUGGGAAGUCCUGACGCCAGCUGCCUCUCGCUCCAGACUCGUCACAGGUGCUGGGAUCCGAGUAGGUUCUGGGGACUCCCCCUGAGCCUGCAGGAAGGCUUCAGAAGCCGGGUCUCAGCUCAGGAGGCCCUCUCUGUCCCCAGGCUACCCCGCGACCACACUGGCCCGGGUCGCCGGGUCACGGGCACUUUCUCAUCUCCAGCCUCGGCGUCCUCAGCACCACCUGGCCCUGGCCCCCGGGGGUCUCAGUCAGUCAUGUCUGUGGCCAGCCCACUGACACCGUGUCCCCACCCAGCCUCGCAAUGGCUCCCCGACGCCACCCUCCCCACUUGGAGCCGGGGCCUCCCUGUCCUCCUGACUAGUGACAGCCAGGGAGCCCGUUCCCUCCUGCCGAGGCACAAGUCUGGUGGCUGGACACCCGGGGACACCUCCUCCCCAGGUGAAGAGCCCGGCCGCGAGGCCCGUGGGCAGCCGGGACGUGCUGGCCCUGGCCCAGCAGGUGGCUUGGUGCCUGUGGGACCCCGGGGAAGCCAGCCCAGGCCGUCCACACCCGACCCCAGACCCCCGCCUGCUGGUCUGUGAGCAGGUGAAAGUCUGGGACGCUCUGAGCUGGGUCCAAGAACGCCCCUGAGACCCACCGGCCACCUGAAGGUGGAGGUGACAGAGGGGCAGGUAACAGGUGACACUGGGGCGGUCACUGGUCAGGCCUCCCCUCCCCUGUGCAGGACGGAGGCAGCGUCCCUGCAGGGAUGCGCCAGCAGACAGAGGGCACCCAACUCCACUCUGACCUGCCUGGCCCUGUGGGUCAUGCAGGAGGGUGGGCAGAGGGGUCAGUGUCCAGGGGACAGGGAGCCUGGGGUCUGCAGGCCCUGGGAUGGGGCCCGAGUCCCCACCUGUGGCUUCUUAGCCUGAGGAGCCGUGCAAACCCCUCAUCUGUGUCUCAAUGUCCCCCUCCGUGAAAUGGGCCCCUAGCCCCCUCAGGGGCUGCUGGGGACACUGACCAGAGCCACCCCGGGCUGAGCGCCAGGCGCUGGUGUUUAUUAUUGGUGUUAGAGUCCACUCCAGGGAGGACAGUGGCCAUGGCCAGGAACCGGUCCCUGUCACAGUCACCUCCUUGGUGGCCACAGACUCCCCUCGGGGCUGGGGCUCAGGACAGUCUCCUUGUGGCCACAUGCUGGUGGCACCCGCCAUCCAGGGGUCACCAGGCCGCGGGGUUCUCGUCCUCACUGCGCAACGGAGAAGAGCCUCGGACGCGGGCGGAGGCGGUGGCCACGGAGCAUGAGGGACUCACGGGACGGGCCUCAGGGCUGAGCGGGGGCGCUUGUCCCCGGGCGAGGGGUCCCCGCGUGGAAGUCAGGCCUGCGCAGUGUCCUGUCCCGCCUCCGUCCUGCCCCGUCCCCUCUCUGGCCUGGGGUGCCUGCCACCUGCCACCACCACCUGGACCCAGGGGCUGAGGAUGGGGUGGAGGGUGCCAAGGAGAGGCUUGUCCCCCAGAGGGGACGGGGCCUUAGGAAGCCAGAGAGUCUGCCCGGCGGAGCCCACUGGCGCUGGACCCCCGGUCCCAGGAGGCAUGUGGGGGCCUGCGCCCUGUCCCCGAGCCCCGUGCCCAAGUUCCUGGGCGGCACAGACGGCGAAGCUCUGAGAAGCACGUCACGGGGGUUCCUGGGUCCCGAGGCCACCCUUAGGGGACUGUCACCACACUGGGCUGUCUGGAGGGGAGGUGGCAGGUCCUCAUCCUGUGUGGUGGCCUGGCCAGCUUGUCCCCGCUGGGACUCCCCACUGCCCACGUGGAGCGGGGCUGGUGUUUAGGGGUCUCCAGGGACGAGGAGCCCCAGGUGGUGGCAUCAUGGGGACCCCCAGGGGCAUUCGGGGUCGCCCCAGGCUGCUGGCCAUGCUGUCUCAGCCAGAGCCUCCCCGACUGUCCCCGAGGGGAUGGAGCCUGGGACGCGUGAGGGUGUCCUUGCCCAUGGCCGGGGGGAAUGUGGCCUCACGUCCUCAGAUCCGCGCUCGGGCCCCUCCCCGCCCCCUGCCUGGCUGCCUCCCGGGGGCGACUGGGGUCUCAGUGCGCCCAGCUGGGUGGCCGCCAGGUUACAGGGAGGUCCCCCUCCUCUCUGGGCUCCCGACUUGGAGUGUCCUACAGACCCUGGGGUUUGGAACCUCAAAAAGCCAAGCCACACACCAGAGAUUCAUCUCUCCCUUGGGUCCUGCGAUCAGAAAUGUGUCCCAGAAGGCCCAGGAUUCAGAUGGCUGUGCUCGUCGAGAAGGUCAUGGAGAUGGCUGGAGCCCUGGCAGCCUCGGGGAGGAGUGCAUCUCGGGUCCAUCUUGGCUCUGUGUGCUUUUCCACGAGGGGAAGUGAUUUGUCGGGUGGAAGAACAGGCGCUUGUUGGUCCUCAGAGGCCCGCGCCUGCUGCAAACCUUGGAACAUGAACUUUCCAUUGGCUCCUGGUGCAAAGACCUCCCAGGAGGGGGAGCAUCGGGCCAGUGUUCCAACUGGAGCAAAGCAGGAGAGAAGCAGUCCGGGGUCAGGCUCCUCGUGCUGUGGCUGGGGAAUUAGACCCCGGCCCACCCCGUCACUUCCGGCUGUCUCCCGCGAGGGUUCAAAGUGUGUUACGGACAUUAGCAAUGGUUAAUCCUCAGAAGUAUUAUAGAUGAAGACGCUGAGGCACAGAGAGGGAGGCCACUGGGGAAAAACCACACAGCAAAACCACGUGGGUCAGGAGAAGGGCUGGAGGGUGCCCCUCCCAGCGCCCACUGAUUUCACUCUGUGGGGUCUGUGGCUCCUUCAGGGCAUCGGUGAGCACACUGUUUCAGGUGACAGGGACAUCAUAGCUGCAGUGACAACGUUUCCCGCACCAGAUCCUAAACUCAUCACCAUGCUGUGCCGUUGUCACUGAACUCAGUCCUGCUCCUGUGGUCACGAGGCAGGGUGUCCGCGGUGGCCCAGGGGACCAGCGUUUUGCAUGUCCACUCGACACGGAGCCCGCGAGUGGACCCAGUGCGCCACCCCGACUGUUGGGAGUCGUGACCCAGGUCAGAGCCCAGGUUCUCGGUCCCUCCCUGGUGCCCCUGGUGGCCCUGCCUGGCCCUGCUCUCUGCUGGCACGUGGGUGUGUGGUCAGCCCGGGCUCCGCCUCGCCUGGCCGAGGGCCACGGGUCUCCUGGGCCCCGCGCCCUUGUCCGUGGCCACAGUCUGUGGGGCUCCGCCCGGAGCAGAGGCGCUCCUCGGCCCCAGGUGGCUCUGUACAGGUCAGCACCUGGGGCCGGGGUGGCCUCUGUCCACGCAGGCUCCCUACACAUUGGUGACCUCUGGGCUGCUGUAGCCGUCCAGACGGUACUGCUCCGGCCCGGCCUGCGCGUCAUCGUCCCCGCACUCCUCGUUCUGAAGAGAGCCGUAGUCGUCGUGGAAAUCCGGGUCUUUGCUGCUAAAGCCCCUUCCUAUCUUCCCGAGGGGCAGCUGAGGACAGAGGGACAGGAGGAAGAGAGACAAGAACUGAGUGUCUGAGGCCUGGGAAAUGUGGUGUCUCUAGUCUCGCUGUGUGACCUUGAGUAACUCCCUUGACUUCUCUGUGCUCCUCCUGUUAGUCAUUCUACCUGAGUGCUCCAGGCGGCAGAGACCACUGUGUGAACCAACAUCAGGAGACGGUUCCCUGUUCCCAGCUGGGAGGACUCAGUGGGUGACGAAGGAGCACAGAGCAGUGCCGGCGCACAGUGGGAGCUGUUACCACGCACAGUAGGCCCCCAGCGAGCUCUUCUGUCAACGUCUCUGUCCUCUCCGUGGCGAAGGUGGUUAGUAUUGUUCAUUGCCUGAUGUGGCCCGUCCUCUCUCUCCACCCCCCUUCCUUCCUCCUCC